rnacentral:rRNA from 1 species
AUUGAACGCUGGCGGCAGGCCUAACACAUGCAAGUCGAGCGGAUGAGAAGAGCUUGCUCUUCGAUUCAGCGGCGGACGGGUGAGUAAUGCCCAGGAAUCUGCCUGGUAGUGGGGGACAACGUUUCGAAAGGAACGCUAAUACCGCAUACGUCCUACGGGAGAAAGCAGGGGACCUUCGGGCCUUGCGCUAUCAGAUGAGCCUAGGUCGGAUUAGCUAGUUGGUGAGGUAAUGGCUAACCAAGGCGACGAUCCGUAACUGGUCUGAGAGGAUGAUCAGUCACACUGGAACUGAGACACGGUCCAGACUCCUACGGGAGGCAGCAGUGGGGAAUAUUGGACAAUGGGCGAAAGCCUGAUCCAGCCAUGCCGCGUGUGUGAAGAAGGUCUUCGGAUUGUAAAGCACUUUAAGUUGGGAGGAAGGGCAGUAAGUUAAUACCUUGCUGUUUUGACGUUACCGACAGAAUAAGCACCGGCUAACUCUGUGCCAGCCGCCGCGGUAACAC